AUAGGUAAAUGGGAUAAAAACCCAUUGCUUCAUGUGUGGCACAGUUGUACACAUGGACAAGCUUGUUCACAUGGUUUUUCCAAUCAGACUUCUGGUCUUUCAGUAGGGUUCUCAACAUGCCUAACAAAGUUAUUGACCACUUGACCAUUUCCUUGUGGAUGUUAAGUGGUGGUACGAGAUGGAGUUCAACAGUUUCUGCAGAUUUUCCAACUCGCCUCCUUGGUCGUAAUGAAGAGUUUGAGGGAAACCAAAUCUUGGGAUGAAAUCAUUAAAAAUCUUCUCAGCUGCUGUACUGCUGAAUUAUUCUUAGUGGGGUAUAACCAGGGCAAAGCAAAUGGUCCAUCAAGACAAGAAUAUACUCACACCCUCAUUUACUCCUCGCAAGUGGACAAAGUCUACUCCCACCAACUGGAAUGGUACUGUAGUGACGAUGGAUUUCAUUGGCCCUCUGGUCUGUCUGCUUGGCUUCUUGUCUUUGAUACAGGUACAAAUAGACAGUUAUGCAUCCAAUCCAUAUUCCGUAACCCCAAACCAAAACCAUAUGUAGCUUGGGCGUCCACCUUCCAACGACCCGCGGUCGUGAACUUCGAUUUGCUUCCCAAUGAGAAAGGCUACGCCAGUCUCGAAGUAAUGUCCAUGAAUCAGACACUGUCUAACUGUGAUAGACAAUAACGAUAAUGACCACAACGUGAUUUUUCCGACAAAAAUUCUUCGUUUUCUCUCUCACUAAAACUUGCUUUAGACCGAUGGCUAGCACUAGCGAAAAAACUUAUGGUUAUGCGCAUGCUACAUCUCACGGGAUCCUGUAAACGGAAUUGCGAGUGGAAUUGUAAUUUAGAAGAAUCUUUUAAUUUUGAUCUGAUUCAUCACAAUUCCAUGAAAAGUAUUUUUGACUUAUCAGACAUUUUGGAACUUUGUAUUCUGAGAGGUUAUACUACAUAGGCAGCCAUACUUGCAGGUGGAGGCCAGUUUAUACUGUGUCGAGCUUUGACUGGUGUCUCAUUGAAAUCAUUGAUAGUACUUGAUUUACUGAAAACCUGACUCACUGAAGUAGCUGACAAAUCUUGUUGGCACAUUUCAUACAACACAUACAGGUAUUAAAGAUUCACAGUUUUCGAUGUUUGCUAAUUCAAUUUGUUUACUUCACAAUGACGUACAAUGUUUGUGUAAUAGAUAAAUUGUACAUGUAUUUUUGCUGGAAUCAUGCCAUAUGUCAUUUGCUUGUUUGAAAGCUUGGUUCAAAAUGAGCUUGUACAUCAUGUUAGCCAUUAUUCUACUGUUUGAUGAAUAAAAAUGUUAAAGGAA